rnacentral:rRNA from 1 species
AAUAUUGGUCAAUGGGCGGAAGCCUGAACCAGCCAUGCCGCGUGCAGGAUGACUGCCCUAUGGGUUGUAAACUGCUUUUGUCCAGGAAUAAACCUAAAUACGUGUAUUUAGCUGAAUGUACUGGAAGAAUAAGGAUCGGCUAACUCCGUGCCAGCAGCCGCGGUAAUACGGAGGAUCCGAGCGUUAUCCGGAUUUAUUGGGUUUAAAGGGUGCGUAGGCGGCCUAUUAAGUCAGGGGUGAAAUACGGUGGCUCAACCAUCGCAGUGCCUUUGAUACUGAUGGGCUUGAAUCCAUUUGAAGUGGGCGGAAUAAGACAAGUAGCGGUGAAAUGCAUAGAUAUGUCUUAGAACUCCGAUUGCGAAGGCAGCUCACUAAGCUGGUAUUGACGCUGAUGCACGAAAGCGUGGGGAUCGAACAGG